GGGGGUGUUUUGGUUUCGACAGGGAACCAGGUGUUUCGUGAUGCAUGCCGGAUAUGUCAUCUAUCCCGUAUAGAUGGUGGCAAUAAUUAAACGCAAACAAUAAUUACGCUUUAGCUGCUUAAUCGCAGUUAACGUCUGUCCUGUCCGUACCUGCGGGAUGGGAACAGCCGUCGUAACAGUCAGGUUGCUGCAGAGGUGAUGUCUAUAACCUUUGCCUAAGCUUAUAGACUGGGUUUUGGGUGGUCUGAUUAUCGUCUAAACCAAAACCGAGACUUAACGAUAACUAAGCAUGUAGAUUUGCGGGAUAACGGUUUUUUGGACGCGGGUUCGACCCCCGCCACCUCCACCA
rnacentral:tmRNA from 1 species